ACCUACCCUUGACAUGUCUGGAAUCCCGAAGAGGAUUUGGGAGUGCUCGCAAGAGAACCGGAACACGGGUGCUGCAUGGCUGUCGUCAGCUCGUGUCGUGAGAUGUUGGGUUAAGUCCCGCAACGAGCGCAACCCUUGUCAUUAGUUGCUACGAAAGGGCACUCUAAUGAGACUGCCGGUGACAAACCGGAGGAAGGUGGGGAUGACGUCAAGUCCUCAUGGCCCUUAUGGGUAGGGCUUCACACGUCAUACAAUGGUCGGGACAGAGGGUUGCCAAGCCGCGAGGUGGAGCCAAUCCCAGAAACCCGAUCGUAGUCCGGAUUGCAGUCUGCAACUCGACUGCAUGAAGUCGGAAUCGCUAGUAAUCGCGGAUCAGAAUGUCGCGGUGAAUACGUUCCCGGGUCUUGUACACACCGCCCGUCACACCAUGGGAGUGGGUUUCACCAGAAGUAGGUAGCCUAACCGUAAGGGGGGCGCUUACCACGGUGGGAUUCAUGACUGGGGUGAAGUCGUAACAAGGUAGGCGUAGUGCU
rnacentral:rRNA from 1 species